rnacentral:misc_RNA from 1 species
UUUCCGUAGGUGAACCUGCGGAAGGAUCAUUACUGAGUGAGGGCCCCUCGGGGUCCAACCUCCCACCCGUGUUUAACGAACCUUGUUGCUUCGGCGGGCCCGCCUCACGGCCGCCGGGGGGCAUCUGCCCCCGGGCCCGCGCCCGCCGAAGCCACCUGUGAACGCUGUCUGAAGUAUGCAGUCUGAGACAAUUAUUAAAUUAAUUAAAACUUUCAACAACGGAUCUCUUGGCUCAC